GUGUCAGCCGCCGCGGUAAUACGAAGGGGGCUAGCGUUGUUCGGAAUUACUGGGCGUAAAGGGCGCGUAGGCGGCGCAUUAAGUCAGGUGUGAAAGCCCUGGGCUCAACCCAGGAAUUGCACUUGAUACUGAUGUGCUUGAAUCCGGAAGAGGAUGACGGAAUUCCCAGUGUAGAGGUGAAAUUCAUUGAUAUUGGGAAGAACACCAGUGGCGAAGGCGGUCAUCUGGUCCGGUAUUGACGCUGAGGCGCGAAAGCGUGGGGAGCAAACAGGAUUAGAUACCCUGGUAGUCCACGCCGUAAACGAUGAGUGCUAGACGUCGGGGGGUUGCCUCUCGGUGUCGCCGCUAACGCAUUAAGCACUCCGCCUGGGGAGUACGGCCGCAAGGUUAAA
rnacentral:rRNA from 1 species